rnacentral:lncRNA from 10 species
GGCAAAAGCUGACCCCAAGCUUGAUAGGCGAAGUCUCCACUGAGCUCCAGGCCACAUGAGAAAUGCUGACUGUGAGGAUGAAGGACCAAUCUUUGUGUGUGCACAGCAGGGAAAGGACUAAUCAUUCCACACUGGCCUCUUCCGCUACAACCUUCUGUACAAGUAACCGUCAUCCCCAGAGCACCAUCUUAUCAUUAGGAAGGACAGAAGAAGAAGAGUACAGUGUGUUUUAAACUGUCUUUGUGU